rnacentral:ncRNA from 1 species
GUAUCCCUAGAUGAUAAAACACCGCACAUGGCUCGUAAGAGCGGUUAAAUUAGCAAGUAAUGCAAAUUACGCGAGGUAACGCAUGGCCUAGGCUCGUUAGUAGCUAAUU